AUUGAACGCUGGCGGAAUGCUUUACACAUGCAAGUCGAACGGUAGAGGGGGCAACCCCUUGAGAGUGGCGAACGGGUGAGUAAUAUAUCGGAACGUGCCCAGUCGUGGGGAUAACGUAGCGAAAGUUACGCUAAUACCGCAUACGAUCUAAGGAUGAAAGCGGGGGACUCGCAAGAGCCUCGCGCGAUUGGAGCGGCCGAUAUCAGAUUAGGUAGUUGGUGGGGUAAAGGCUCACCAAGCCAACGAUCUGUAGCUGGUCUGAGAGGACGACCAGCCACACUGGAACUGAGACACGGUCCAGACUCCUACGGGAGGCAGUAGUGGGGGAAUUUUGGACAAUGGACGCAAGUCUGAUCCAGCCAUUCCGCGUGCAGGAUGAAGGCCCUCGGGUUGUAAACUGCUUUUGUACGGAACGAAAAGGUUUCUAUUAAUACUAGGAGCUCAUGACGGUACCGUAAGAAUAAGCACCGGCUAACUACGUGCCAGCAGCCGCGGU
rnacentral:rRNA from 1 species